rnacentral:snoRNA from 1 species
GUUUGGGUUUAAGGCCGGCCCAUCCCCAUGACCCUAGCAUAGUGCCCCAUGCCAGAGCAAACAGGAGCCCCAAACCAUUGCCUGACCUUGCUCCUGGGCUGUGGGUACUAAAGUGGGUUACACUGUU